rnacentral:rRNA from 1 species
UGAGCACUAAGAUUUUGAACGCAAAUUGCGCCAUUGGGUUCAUUCCCAAUGGCACGUCUGGUUGAGGGUCGAA